rnacentral:misc_RNA from 1 species
AAGUCGUAACAAGGUCUCCGUAGGUGAACCUGCGGAGGGAUCAUUACCGAGUGCGGGCCCUCGUGGCCCAACCUCCCAACCCUUUGUCGAUGAAUAUCUGUUGCCUCGGGGGGGCGACCCGGCCCCCGCGCCGCGAGUCCCCCGGGAGGUCCAACCAACACUGCGUCUUUGCGUCGGAGUAUUGAAACACAAUCAAUCAAAA